rnacentral:lncRNA from 1 species
GAGGCCGUGUGGUUAUGGAUACCCAAGGCAUAGAGAAAGGUCUGUAGAAGGACUCCAACCCCGUGGUUCAGUCAGAUAGGGUCAGUGGGGUAACCACCGACUCAUCGGCUAAGACAAUCGGACAAUCCGAACCGCUCUAGCCAUGGGUGUUUGGGUUAUGUUCUAUUCUUCUUAUUCUUUUUAUCUAAUUCUUCUUCUACUGCUCCAGUAUAUUUGCGUGACCUUGUUGAUA